rnacentral:rRNA from 1 species
GAUGAACGCUGGCGGCGUGCCUAAUACAUGCAAGUCGAGCGAACAGACGAGGAGCUUGCUCCUCUGACGUUAGCGGCGGACGGGUGAGUAACACGUGGAUAACCUACCUAUAAGACUGGGAUAACUUCGGGAAACCGGAGCUAAUACCGGAUAACAUGUUGAACCGCAUGGUUCAAUAGUGAAAAACGGUCUUGCUGUCACUUAUAGAUGGAUCCGCGCCGCAUUAGCUAGUUGGUAAGGUAACGGCUUACCAAGGCAACGAUGCGUAGCCGACCUGAGAGGGUGAUCGGCCACACUGGAACUGAGACACGGUCCAGACUCCUACGGGAGGCAGCAGUAGGGAAUCUUCCGCAAUGGGCGAAAGCCUGACGGAGCAACGCCGCGUGAGUGAAGAAGGUCUUCGGAUCGUAAAACUCUGUUAUUAGGGAAGAACAAAUGUGUAAGUAACUAUGCACGUCUUGACGGUACCUAAUCAGAAAGCCACGGCUAACUACGUG